UUUCAAAAGAACGCGCCAUGGAGCGAUGGGCGAUCUCGUAGCUCUCUCGAGUCUUCGGUUCUCCCACCGACGCCUCUCCUCCUGUCGGCGCCGGCGACGACCGGCGAUCGUCGUCCACGAAUUAGCACGACGCGAUCGCCCCAAUCAGCUGCGACAGAACCCUGGUUGGCAGGUCAAUCAGGCUAUUCUACAAAGGUGAAUCGACUUGACCAGGGCACUUGCGCGGUAACAUGACUUGCACAGGGAGAUGGGUUGUUACAUACACAAAGCACUUGAAGCAGAAGAGAAAAACCUAUCACGAUGGUGUACUAGAGAUUAGUGAUCCAGGAAACAAGGUUUUGUUGUAUGAUGAUAGCGAAAAGCUCAUAGAUAGUAGAUUCUUGAAGAAAGAUGAAGUAAUUGGAAGUGGUGGAACUCUGACCUUUGAAGCUCAUCUUGUUGACAUUGGAAACCUCGAAGAAAAAGGGCCUUUCAAAAAUCUAAAUUCCAGUAGAAAUGACUCAAAGUUAAGUGAAAAGGCUCGGAAUCUGCAGCAGAAGGAGAAUGAGAAAAGCAUGCAUCACAAUAAACUGGAACCGAAAUAUCUAAGUGGGGCAAACAGCAAAAGCAGAGUGAACAAGAACGAACCUGAUAGCUUGGGGGCAAAAGAAACUCAUGAUGUUACCCACAGUGAUCCAAAAGAGUGGAAUGUUUUGUACACCACUCAAAUAUCUCAAAAGGCAAAAAAGUAUCAUGAUGGAGUAUUGCGACUUUCAUUAUGUGGAUCACAUAUGAAUCAGAUUAUGUUGCUGAGUGAAGAUGGUUCCGUACUGAGUAGCAAGUACCUUAAAUCUGUUGAAUGUAUUCGAACUGGGAGCAAAUGUGAGUUACCCAACCAUCUCGUUGAAAUUUGUGAGCCACGGAUUCGAUGUGAAGAAGGUCUCAAAAAGUUACCAUCAAAGCAACUUAUGAGAUCUAGCAGUUCUAGCAACAAGAAGUCAACAAAGGACAUUUGCAACACCCACUUGGAACAAGCAGGAGGUCCCUGCAGCUCCAAUUCUGUCAAGUCCAUGGAUUCUAGCCGGGCACAAAGUAACAAGCCAUUACGUGAUGCCUGCCAAAUUCUUCGCACUCUUAAGAAGCCAUUUCCUAUUGAGAAAAAUGAUCCAAGAAACUCUCCGGUAGCACAUGUCAAUGCAUCACCAUCUCUUGAUUUUGUUUUGCCGGGUGCACAAUGCCAGAUCAAGGAUCUAAAUUUGCAAGGGGGUGGCAAUCACAAAGGUGACUUUAGUGAAUGUGCUUCUCAAACUUCCUUGCCCGGAACUCCUGACAUAAAAUCGACUUCAUCUCAGCAAGUAAUACAUACAGAACCCAAGUUCAAAGUGGAUUCUCUGGCUAUAACAGCCUCUGUGGAAGGACACAAUACAUCAGAUCAUAGCUCUUUGUCUGAAAGCAGCCAGGGAAUGUCGGCAGACAAAUGCUGUUCUAAUGUUCAAGACUCAAGAGAGCUUGCUGGUUUCAUGAAUGGAAAUCUGCCUGUCAGAGAGCCUUGUCCGUCUGAUGGAAAAGAAGAUACUGCUGACCCUUUCGCUAAUUUUCUGAAGGAAAAUAACACUUCUGAUAGCAGUAUUUCUGGAAGGAGCUGCAAUGGCACUUUAAAUGCCAAUGAAGGGAAAGAUGAAGUCACUCACUCGGUCUGGGACUCUCAUCCUGGAACCUCUUCUACUGGUUUCAAUUAACUAUUUGUCUGCUAAUACACUCACUAACAGAAGCAUUUCUUUCCAUUGCUUCUACAAUCUAUUGUGAACUUGAAAGGAAAAUUAUCACUUCUAUUAAAGAUGAGACAUCUGUAAUUUCUUUUUGCUGACUAUUAAUGAUGUCUCUCUUUCUGGUUCAGAUAUCGUCAAAGGACAAUGAACAUGAAGGGAGGUGCAGGAUGGUUGAAAUUUCGGAUGCAUCUGCUGCUACGCACAUGAUACAUGAGAAUUUUGACUGCCAGAACUCAUUAAACGAGAGCCUUAUCGAAGAUGAUGUCCCAACAUUUGAUUUGGGCUUCUAUUAACAGAAAGAAUCUGAUUCCAUGGUUUUUGCUUUGUCGCUAUGCUUGGAAUUUUUACUUGUCCACAGCAUCAUACAAGCAUGGGUUCAAACUCAAACUUUGCUGAGAACGCUGUCAAAAUGUUGGCUGUGGAUUUCGUUUUAUUGUUAUUUCUUAUAAUAAUCGUCGGUUUCUUAAUAUCUCUGCCAAAUUUUAAUUCGAAAGAAACCAAAAUUAAGCUUCAUGAGAGACGGUUGCGCUCUGGGAAGAAAGAGGAGAGAGACGACGCACGAGCGGAUUACUACUGGAAUCCAAAUUCAAAUUCGAUUCAGGUACAAGCGGUUUGGAUGUAUUUGGAGUCCAGUACGUGAAGAAGAGAAACUCAAGCUUAAUCCGGAUUCUUCCUUGUUAACGAUGGCGUCGUUCUCCAUUCUUCAUCAGCUAACAAGCUCCUAAACGAGGACGACUCGACUUCGACGGCUUCCCUUCAAGAGUACAAUGAGCACGGCGUCAUGCUCCCUCUCGAGCAAACCGUCAAUCUUUGUCCGGCUAUACCUAGACAUGCCCUUCACUGGCAUCAUUGCCGCCCUGCAUCCAUGCGUCUGGUUCCCGGACAUGCUCCUCAAUAGUAUCGAGGGAGUUAUCUCUUUGAGCCAUAGCAAAUUUGAUGGUUAUCAUUUAUUUUUUUGUCUGUCAGCUUCUAUCCCACCAUUGCUCGUCCAACGUCAACGUUUCCACAAAUAAUUAAAACGAUAAUGUUAU